GAUGAACGCUAGCGGCAGGCUUAAUACAUGCAAGUCGAGGGGCAGCACAGGUAGCAAUACUGGGUGGCGACCGGCAAACGGGUGCGGAACACGUACGCAACCUUCCUUUAAGUGGGAGAUAGCCCAGGGAAACUUGGAUUAAUAUCCCGUAAUACUAUUGGGUGGCAUCACGUGGUAAUUAAAGCUCCGGCGCUUAAAGAUGGGCGUGCGCCUGAUUAGGUAGUUGGCGGAGUAACAGCCCACCAAGCCUACGAUCAGUAACUGGUGUGAGAGCACGACCAGUCACACGGGCACUGAGACACGGGCCCGACUCCUACGGGAGGCAGCAGUAAGGAAUAUUGGUCAAUGGACGCAAGUCUGAACCAGCCAUGCCGCGUGGAGGAUGACGGCCCUCUGGGUUGUAAACUCCUUUUAUCUGGGAAGAAAUGCAUUUUUUCUAAAGUGUUUGACGGUACCAGAGGAAUAAGCACCGGCUAACUCCGUGCCAGCCGCCGCCGUAAUAC
rnacentral:rRNA from 1 species